rnacentral:rRNA from 1 species
GUAUCAGAAGUGCGAAUGCUGACAUGAGUAACGACAAGGGGAGUGAGAAGCUCCCCCGCCGGAAGACCAAGGGUUCCUGCGCAACGCUAAUCGGCGCAGGGUGAGUCGGCCCCUAAGGUGAGGUCGAAAGACGUAAUCGAUGGGAAACAGGUCAAUAUUCCUGUACCCCUUCUGACUGCGAUGGAGUGACGGAGAAGGCUAGGUCAGCGCAGCGUUGGUUGUCUGCGUUUAAGAUCGUAGGCUGGGGAUCCAGGCAAAUCCGGAUCCUCAAGGCCGAGAAUUGAUGACGAGGCUCUACGGAGCUGAAGUGAUUGAUGCCAUGCUUCCAGGAAAAACUUCUAAGCUUCAGGUCAGAAGGGACCGUACCCCAAACCGACACAGGUGGUCAGGUAGAGAAUACCAAGGCGCUUGAGAGAACUCGGGUGAAGGAACUAGGCAAAAUGGCACCGUAACUUCGGGAGAAGGUGCGCCGGCUUUGGUGAUCGGACUUGCUCCGUAAGCUGAGGCUGGUCGAAGAUACCAGGUGGCUGCGACUGUUUAUUAAAAACACAGCACUGUGCAAACACGAAAGUGGACGUAUACGGUGUGACGCCUGCCCGGUGCCGGAAGGUUAAUUGAUGGGGUUAUCU